UUUUCUAAUAAAUGGCCCAACAAGCCAACUCUUUGAUGAAAAAGAAAAAAAAAACAAUCUUGAUUCCUGAGGACUCUAUUAAUGUGGCGAUAACAAUGUUCGAUCUUCAUAAACUAAUUAAGAACCACACAUCAUCACUGUUUUCCCUAUAAGCAGGUUGAGCUUGACGAUUCAUGAUUCCGAUUUUGCCACACAUCAAUCAACGCAGCAAGAAUAUCAUACACCAGUUGCUGCUGCAGAACCACAAUUUUCCACCUGGGUCCAGUCCUGACGGGAGGUGAGAGCCUCAGGAGGAAAUGUUUGGCCACGUAUUCCAUAAUGUAUCCACUAUUAAAAGAAUUUGGGAAUAUUUUAAUUCCUAUGCAAGCAUAUCCACAGGAGGUUUACAACUUCAGCAGGUUAUUCUUCAAUGAUGGACGACUAAUGUUCUUUCUAGACUCGAACCAAUAUUUUAGCCAGUUUCGACCAUUAUUAUUUGGAGGUUGUGGAAGAAAAGGAAUAGCAACAAGCACGGAGAGAAUAGCAACAAGCACGGAGAGAAGGUUACUCAGGUGCGUUGGAAUUUACCUUCAGAUAAUUGGUUAAAAUUAAACAUGGAUGGAUUGUGCAGAGGUAAUCUAGGUAGAAGGUCUUAUGCUUUUUGUAUUAGAGAUCUUCUUGGUGAUUUGGUAUAUGCAGAAGCAAAGGAAAUCAGAGAAGGCACAAACAUAUUUUCAGAGACUACAACAAUUCUAGAGGCUAGCUGCUAGAUAUUGUGUAGCUCAUAACUUGUUUAAUUUGAUAUUAGAAACUGAUUCUUUAUUUUUGAAAAA